UGGAGAACUAUCAUAUCUUCUACAGUAACAUCCUUGUCUGUGUGCCUUUCCUGCCAUGAUGAAAUUGGAGUAAACUCUGAAACUAUGCCAAGGGACUCUCUGCUGCUGAGUGUCUAUGACAUCCUACAACUUACCACACCUAUGACCAGGUACUGUGUCUCAAAGGUUCUACAACCUACUACCUUUCCUUUGGAGCUAAAUCCAAGUGCCUGUGAAUAACCUUCUUAUCUCAAAGAUAAUGGGUCAACUUCAGAGAAGUAGAAAGAAGAAUGUUGAUCAGCGAGAUAAAGCAGAAGAAUAGAAUGUUAAUUUGGUGUUCAACAAUUAUAGCAUUUCUAUUUUGCAUCAUGAAUAGAUGUCACUGUUCAAUGUCAUGCUGUAUGCAAAUUAUAUGGCAUUGCAUGCUUACUACUUCAAGAAGAUAUAUGUUAAUAAACGUUUAAAUAUGUUUUGCAAAUGUAAAAAAAGGACAAUGUAAGUCUAUAACACACAUAAAGAAUUGACAAGAAUACAAAAAUUUUCUAA